CCACACAUUCAAAGAGUGCGUAAUAGCUCACUAGUCGAGAGGUCCUGCGCCGAAAAUGUCCGGGGCUGAAACACAACACCGAAGCUUAGGAAUGUCGUAAGACAUUGGUAGAGGAGCAUUCUCAGGACGGAGAAGCGGUACCGGUAAGGAGCCGUGGAGUGCUGAGAAGAGAGAAUGCCGGAAUGAGUAGCGAGAUGGAGGUGGGAAUCCUCCAGGCCGAAUAUCCAAGGUUUCCAGAGUAAAGCUGAUCUGCUCUGGGUAAGUCGGGGCCUAAGGCGAGGCUGAGAGGCGUAGYCGAUGGACAACAGGUUGAAAUUCCUGUACCGUGUAUCAUCAGAACUGUGGGGACACAGAAGGACAGCACAUCCCGGGAAUGGGAAUACCGGGGCAAGCGUGGUAGGAGUACGGCUGGAAAAACCGCCGUGCAAUCCGAAUACGUGACGCGGAGCGAACAAAAGUAGCGAAGUGUGUGAUUCCGGCUGUCAAGAAAAGCCGCUAUCGUGUGAUACAUGCCCGUACCGUAAACCGACACAGGUAGAUGAGGAGAGAAUCCUAAGGCCGGCGGGAGAAGCAUUGUUAAGGAACUCGGCAAAAUGACCCCGUAACUUCGGGAGAAGGGGUGCCGCAGAGAUGUGGCCGCAGAGAAUAGGCUCAAGCAACUGUUUAGCAAAAACACAGGUCUAUGCAAAACCGUAAGGUGAGGUAUAUGGGCUGACGCCUGCCCGGUGCUGGAAGGUUAAGAGGAGAGGUCUAGCGCAAGCGAAGCUUUGAAUUUAAGCCCCAGUAAACGGCGGCC
rnacentral:rRNA from 2 species